CAGAACGAACGCUGGCGGCGCGUCUUAAGCAUGCAAGUCGGGCGGCAAGCAUCAGCAAUGGUGCCUAGAGCGGCGGACUGGUGAGUAACGCGUGGGUGACCUGCCUUAAGGUUGGGGAUAGCCGUUAGAAAUAGCGGGUAAUACCGGAUGUGGUUGCUCCGCUGUGGCGGAGCAAAGAAAGGCGCUUUGGCGCCGCCUUAAGAUGGGCCCGCGUCCCAUUAGCUAGUUGGUGGGUAAGGGCUUACCAAGGCGAUGAUGGGUAGCCGGCCUGAGAGGGUGAACGGCCACACUGGGACUGAGAUACGGCCCAGACUCCUACGGGAGGCAGCAGCUAAGAAUAUUCCGCAAUGGCCGCAAGGCUGACGGAGCGACGCCGCGUGGAUGAGGAAGGCCGAAAGGUUGUAAAAUCCUUUUGCCGGAGAAGAAUAAGCGUGGCAGGGAAUGGCCGCGUGAUGACGUAUCUGG
rnacentral:rRNA from 1 species